GAUAGGCUAAUUAAGGGCGUAUGGGGAAUGCCUAGGCUCUCAGAGGCGAAGAAGGACGUGAUAAGCUGCGAAAAGCUACGGUUAGUGGCACAUACACUGUGAUCCGUAGAUAUCCCAAUGGGGCAACCCGGCAUAUUGAAGAUAUGUCAUCCGACCUAGUCGGAAGCAAACCCGGAGAACUGAAACAUCUAAGUACCCGGA
rnacentral:rRNA from 1 species